AGGAGCAGUGUCCUGCAGUCUCCUCCUCUUUUCUCCUGAGCAUGAGCCUGGUUGUGUCGCACUGUGUUUAAGGUAUGUGGCAUAUAGGUGAGUUUGGGGUACUUUGUACCUUUUUGCACUCAGUAAUUAAAUAGUUCAGACACAGUAGGUCAAUUGGCAUGUGCCACCCCCUGUAUUUGUUGUAGAUUAAAGCUUGUUUUUUUUAGCUUAACUGCUAGGCUUUCAGUUCAUUAUUUUGACUUAAGAAUUAAAUAAAAAUAGGCUGAGUUUUAUUAUACUUCUGAUUUUAGUCGGCACUACCACUCUGCCCUAUCCUCCCCCACAUUGUGAAAAUCUUUCUUGUUUAUUUAAUUUGAAAAAUAAGAGGGAACAUUGCCUUUUUUCACUUAUAAUGUGACUCCUGUCAAUUUUUUUGGGUUGUCCUGUUAUCCUUCCUUUGUUGCAUAAGAGGGAUGUAGCAGCCAGAUGGCAAAACCUCUCCCAGGAGGGAACUGCUGUUUUGGUCCAGGAGGUCCAAGCUUGCAGUGGCCAGAUCUAUGUUCAGGCAACAACAUCAACAACAUCAACCAGGUUGGCCAGAAGUCCUUAGAACCACUGCAUGGUGCAAAAAGCAGAUGAAUGAUGUGAGAAGAAGGGCAAAACAAAAACACUCCCAGCACUAUUGCAACUAUGUCAAAAACAAGUGUCUCACCAAGCGGUGCUGGGGACGUUUUGUCAUCCACACUCCUUUUUCACAAAUAAAGACACUCACAUCGAGUUACAUAUAUUUUAACCCCAUGAGACAAAGGUUGGUUGUGUGCACAGAUCACAACUUAAAAGUCAUUCAUAACGGGGUUAAAAUCAGAACCACCUCUGAGUAAAGGACGCAUCACACUCCUUGGCAUGGCUUUUUCUUCCACUAAUGUUGGCAUGAAAAAUUAACUUUGCUCACACAACUGAAUAUUAAACUAUUGGCAUGUCAGACUAACUCCAGAUUGAAUAAUCACAUACUUGUGGAGACAUUUAAUAAAUGGUUUAUUUUAAAUAAA